rnacentral:misc_RNA from 1 species
UUGAAUACUAUCGAGCGCUGUGCUGGCCUUUCGGGGCAUGUGCACGUGUUCUUUAUUAUAUCUAUCUCUUGUGAACCUAGUGUGGGCUUUGGAGGAACAGUUGGUCUUUGUGCCUUCUGGGAUUCUGAAGACCAUUUUUUUAUAAACAUUUAAAAAGUUAACAGAAUGUCUUCUUUUUACUUCGGUAAAAAUAAAACCUAUA